rnacentral:rRNA from 2 species
UGACUAAUACAUGCAAGUCGAACGAACUCUGGUAUUGAUUGGUGCUUGCAUCAUGAUUUACAUUUGAGUGAGUGGCGAACUGGUGAGUAACACGUGGGAAACCUGCCCAGAAGCGGGGGAUAACACCUGGAAACAGAUGCUAAUACCGCAUAACAACUUGGACCGCAUGGUCCGAGUUUGAAAGAUGGCUUCGGCUAUCACUUUUGGAUGGUCCCGCGGCGUAUUAGCUAGAUGGUGGGGUAACGGCUCACCAUGGCAAUGAUACGUAGCCGACCUGAGAGGGUAAUCGGCCACAUUGGGACUGAGACACGGCCCAAACUCCUACGGGAGGCAGCAGUAGGGAAUCUUCCACAAUGGACGAAAGUCUGAUGGAGCAACGCCGCGUGAGUGAAGAAGGGUUUCGGCUCGUAAAACUCUGUUGUUAAAGAAGAACAUAUCUGAGAGUAACUGUUCAGGUAUUGACGGUAUUUAACCAGAAAGCCACGGCUAACUACGUGCCAGCAGCCGCGGUAAUACGUAGGUGGCAAGCGUUGUCCGGAUUUAUUGGGCGUAAAGCGAGCGCAGGCGGUUUUUUAAGUCUGAUGUGAAAGCCUUCGGCUCAACCGAAGAAGUGCAUCGGAAACUGGGAAACUUGAGUGCAGAAGAGGACAGUGGAACUCCAUGUGUAGCGGUGAAAUGCGUAGAUAUAUGGAAGAACACCAGUGGCGAAGGCGGCUGUCUGGUCUGUAACUGACGCUGAGGCUCGAAAGUAUGGGUAGCAAACAGGAUUAGAUACCCUGGUAGUCCAUACCGUAAACGAUGAAUGCUAAGUGUUGGAGGGUUUCCGCCCUUCAGUGCUGCAGCUAACGCAUUAAGCAUUCCGCCUGGGGAGUACGGCCGCAAGGCUGAAACUCAAAGGAAUUGACGGGGGCCCGCACAAGCGGUGGAGCAUGUGGUUUAAUUCGAAGCUACGCGAAGAACCUUACCAGGUCUUGACAUACUAUGCAAAUCUAAGAGAUUAGACGUUCCCUUCGGGGACAUGGAUACAGGUGGUGCAUGGUUGUCGUCAGCUCGUGUCGUGAGAUGUUGGGUUAAGUCCCGCAACGAGCGCAACCCUUAUUAUCAGUUGCCAGCAUUAAGUUGGGCACUCUGGUGAGACUGCCGGUGACAAACCGGAGGAAGGUGGGGAUGACGUCAAAUCAUCAUGCCCCUUAUGACCUGGGCUACACACGUGCUACAAUGGAUGGUACAACGAGUUGCGAACUCGCGAGAGUAAGCUAAUCUCUUAAAGCCAUUCUCAGUUCGGAUUGUAGGCUGCAACUCGCCUACAUGAAGUCGGAAUCGCUAGUAAUCGCGGAUCAGCAUGCCGCGGUGAAUACGUUCCCGGGCCUUGUACACACCGCCCGUCACACCAUGAGAGUUUGUAACACCCAAAGUCGGUGGGGUAACCUUUUAGGAACCAGCCGCCUAAGGUGGACCA